rnacentral:rRNA from 1 species
UACGUAGGGACCAAGCGUUGUUCGGAUUUACUGGGCGUAAAGGGCGCGUAGGCGGCGCGGUAAGUCACUUGUGAAAUCUCUGGGCUUAACUCAGAACGGCCAAGUGAUACUGCAGUGCUAGAGUGUGGAAGGGGCAAUCGGAAUUCUUGGUGUAGCGGUGAAAUGCGUAGAUAUCAAGAGGAACACCUGAGGUGAAGACGGGUUGCUGGGCCAACACUGACGCUGAUGCGCGAAAGCCAGGGGAGCAAACGGG